rnacentral:rRNA from 1 species
GACGAACGCUGGCGGCGUGCUUAACACAUGCAAGUCGAACGGAAAGGCCCUGCUCUUGUGCCGUGCUCGUGAGCCGCGCGCGUGGGUAUCACGCGAGGAACCUCUCCUUGUCUGUGGGAUAACUCCAGGGAACACGGGCGAUUAUCCGAUAUAAGCUCCUGCAGCACAUGGUUUGUUGGUGAGAUUCGGCGUUUGGGGCUGGACUCGCGGCUUAUCAGCUUGUUGGUGGGGUAGUGGCGUACGAAGGCUUUGACGGGUAGCCGGCCUGAGAGGGUGACCGGCCCCAUUGGGACUGGGAUACGGGCCAGACUCAUACGGGAGGAAGCAGUGGGGGAUAUUGCACAAUGGGCGGAAGCAUGAUGCAGGAACGCCGCGUGCGGGAUGACGGCUUUCGGGUUGUAAACCGCUUUCGCCUGUGACGAAGCGUGAGUGACGGUAAUGGGUAAAGAAGCACCGGCUAACUACGUG